rnacentral:tRNA from 4 species
UGCGCUGUUGGUGUGGGGAACACAUAUCGUUCGUACUGGCGUAAUGCGCGUGUUUGGCGCGCGCCUGCGCAC